rnacentral:SRP_RNA from 1 species
GCUGGGUGUGGUGGCACACACCUGUAAUCCCAGCUACUCAGGAGGCUGAGGCAGGAGAAUUGCUUGAACCCAGGAGGUGGAGGUUGCAGUGAGUCGAAAUCAUGCCACUGCACUCCAGCCUGGGCGACAGAGCGAGAUUCAGCCUCAA